rnacentral:lncRNA from 1 species
AAUGGAGUCUUCUUUAGUAUGCCAUUCUCUACUAGCCUUAGAGCAAAACUUCUUCCUGCAAGAGUAUCACAGAACUAGAUUCAAGUGUUAACAACCUUACAAAGCAUGAGGAUGCUGUGGACAGAUGAUGUGAAGGGUAUAAGGUCAAUUUCGAUGAAGAGUAGGUCUACAGAAGUGUUAUGCAGAAAACAAGGCUUGGGAAAAGAAAAGGAUUUUCUGUGAAAGAACCCAUUAACACACAGGCAGCCUCUACUUGAUCCAUUAGAGCUUCCAGAGUCUAUAAAACAGUGAGUAGGGUGGGUCUCUGUCUUGGGACUCAGAAUUAUGUGUCUGUCAGUCUUUCUAGUAUGAUGUCUCAUGUAUCCUUCAAUAAUUUACACUGACUGUAGCUGGUGUGUGAAGGUCCUGUUGACACCACCCCAGUAUUAGUUCCUAGAGAGGCUUGGCUUUGCUGGUUUAUUUCUUGUUUCUGUCAUCUUUUCUUAGUCUUUUAUAACAUGGGCAGUGUAUGCCAUUCUGGUGAGAAAAAAAAAAAAAAAAAGAAUAAGAUCUUAGGUAUUCAAACCUAAAUUUUACUUGUAUCCUGAGGUAAGUUACAGAUCCUAGGUUCAGUGUCUGGACAUAUCCAAAAUAUUGAAAUCACUAUUAUUUCUCCUAUAACUUAAUCAUGGGACAUACCUUUUCUUUACAUUCCUAGAGCAUAAUCUCCUUUUGCUGCUUGUAUAUGCUUCCACAGAUAAUCUCACUAUCUCAGUGUAGCAGGUUUCCUGAGAGGAGAAUAGCCAUGAAUCAAAAACAGGGCCAUAGCCAUGGCCAUUUGUAUCAGUUAUGAGCACAUGGCUUAGAGCAGAGCUCAGUAAAUGAAGUGAGUUCCUUCACUCAUGAACUAUCCUAGUUUUAGGCAGCACAGACUACACGAGGACAAUUGGAAAAAUAAAUCAACACAUUUGGCUUGGCAAGCUCAGUAUCAAGGCUUCAAGUUGGAUUUUUUUUAAGCUUCAUUUCUAUUCAGUUUUGUUGUUGUUGUUGUUGUUCUUGUUGUUGUUGUUGUUUUCUUGGUUGGAUCAAAAUCCCUAACUUCAUGUGAUCAUUACAAUUGACAAGUAGUGAAUGUGUUGUACAUUCUACUCACUUUUUGGUGGUGGUUCCCUUGCAGAUUAAAAUAGGAGAUGCAUUUAAUCUGAGGUUCUGUGUAAUUAAGGAUAGUGGGAAAUGAUAGCUGGAGACAGGGAUUCGUGUCAUUGGCCCUGAUAGAUUAGUGAAGACUGAGAAUAAACUGAAACUCUCUUCAGAAGGUCCAGAAAGAGUCUAAAAGGUCAUCAGAACCAAACCUUCACAUUUGAUAAUGAAGUACCUCAGCAGAAUAGGUAGUACUUGAGUGUAGGACUCAGUUCCCACAACAACAUCAUCAAGUAAUCUUUUUCCUAGUUAUUACCAAAAAUAUGUUCUGAGGCACAUAUUAGGAAAGAAGUGUCAUAGGAAUUUUUGGGAAUGACCUUGGAUGUCCUGAGUCAGGGCCUGUUACCAUUCCUUCACAGAUCACACACAUAAACACUGUGUCCUAGGCAUGAAUGCAUUUUUCAUUGGUUUGAAUACAAUUUUGAAAACUGGUGAUGAAGAAUCUUCUUUACUACAUUUCCAAUUUGGUAGUAGAGGAUCUCUGACUUUUCUGAAGUCACUUUUCUUUUCUGAUGAUAACGUGAGGUAGCUAUUAUGAUGGUUCACCUUAUUCCCUUGCUAGUAAAGAACAAUUAUGAUCCAAAUCUAGGAUUAGAAGAUCCCAAGGCAGAGUUUCCUUAACACUCUUUUCCCUUCCAAAUCACCCUUCCGAUUGGUACACGUCUUAGUCCAAAAGUCUGAGUCUUCCCUUCAUUCUUCUUUUUGUUUUCCACUUUGGAAGCUAACUGCAUUCCUACCAAUAAGAAAGGCGAUUCGGUGAUUCACUGCUUAAUGCUGCAAAUGUUCUUUCUUUUAUUCUACAAAUAUUUACUCGGUUCUUCUCAAGCACUUGUGUAUCCUGAACAUAGGAUAGAUAAUACUGCUGUCCAAGUCAGUAUGAAGUCUUGCACUAGACAGAACCCCAGACUACUCACAACUUAACCUUGUUCUAAUGGAAAGUACAAAAUACAGUGUUGAGAGACCACCUAACUUAGAGAGCAUGUUUCUGGGUACCCAUAAAAAACAAAGUUGAUUGGGACUUAAAGUACAUCAUGGUAUCUAUGAGUAACUCUUAAUUUCUGCAUCCUGAGAUGAAUCGUUAGUUUCAAGUAUAAGGUGGGCCUGAUAGACUCCUCACUUAUCAGUUUCACAUGGGGUCUUGGAAGGCAAGAGUGAUGAUGAUUCUGAAAUCUCUCCCAGGUUAUGUAACCCACUCCAGGCUCGGUGACACAAACUUACUAACUGAACUCGCUUUCUGCUUCAUAGACUUCCUUCACUCAUGGCUACCAGCCAUCUUGGCUAUUCCUUAACUUCACCUUGCCAUAUUGAAUGACUCUUGGGAAUGCAAUCAGACAAAGAAAUAGACAGAAAGACAGAUUUCUGUUUUGGAGGUGGCCCCAUUUUCCAGAGGACAUCUGGAGUUUUGCGCUAAACAUUCAUUGGUUGUUUUCAAUACACUCAGAGAAAGGAGACCAGACCAGAAUCUGAAAGAAGGUUGCACUGUGCCAUCCUUUGCUCACUGGGCCUCAGCUUCCUUAUUUCUAAAACAAAAAAGUAAUUAGAAUUCCUGUUUGGUUUUUGCAUAUUAGAGUUGCUCCCUGGGUUAAAUGGUCUGGGUCAAGAUAUUAGAGAGUAUUUUCAACUCUCCAAUUGAUCAUCUUUUAUUUUCUUUGGUUUUGGUUCCAGUGAGAUUUCAUUGCAACCAAAGGUCAUAGUCCAGGCCAUAUGACUUUUAAAGGCUUGAGUUUCUGAUUCUCUGAUCCAAUUAAUGAGUAGAUUGUCUUCAAUCUGCUUAUAUCCAGGAGUGGGUUUAGGGCAGAGAGGGGUUCAGUCAUCCCCUGGCAUACCCUCAUCCUCACAAGGAUGGGGUUAUUCUUCCACCUGCCUCAGGACUACCAUCCUCUGAGUCUGCCUAUCACAACAAAGUCUGUGAGAUGCUGUAGGGCUCUGUGUUCUCCAGCUCUGAACAAAAAGCCAGUGCACAGGGAAAUCCUAGAUAACUCUAUCUCAAAGGUAGUAUUCUGCUUUCAGGAUUCUCCUAGGGCCUCCAAAUUUGGAGAAAGAAGUAGAAAAAAAAAAAAACACACCCUGGAACCCACCAGCACCUGAAGCAGUAAAGUUGUCUCACCUAAACUUCCUUGCGUGUUCACAUGCCCUUACAUGGACUCAGUCACAAUGGCCAGCCCGCAGAAUCUGCCUUCUGUUUAUACUCUGAUAGACUUAGGAAGGAAGAUUAGAUUUGGUGCUGCUGAGCCAUUUAUACUCCUUCUCAAUAAACAGUUGUGAGAGAAUUUGAUCAAAUGCACACACGAGCACACACACACAACCACACACACACACACACACACACACACACACACCACAAUCUACUUCAAAAUCAUAAUCCCCAUAAUCAGGGUUUAUAUUUGGGUCCAGCUUUAUUUUCUAGUUAUAGUUCCAAGGAACAUGUCCUUACAAAGUUAGGGUCACUGGGAGAGAGCCAGAGCCUCAGCCAGAGGAAGACAGGCCUGCAUUCAGCUGCAUGGCCUGGAACUCUGCUUCCACUGGCUAGCUGUACUCUAUGGAAAUCUGUCCAGCAAUGACCAAACUGACAUGGUUUCUUGCAUAAUGGCGUUCAUCUGCACACAUUUACUAGAAGAUGGGGAACACAGAUCUGUCUCACUUGACCAUAAGCAAGCCAUGGGACUACCAAAAAUGGAAGUGAUUGCUGGCUUUGGCAGUUAUGUGCAUCCCCCCUCAUUAUCCUAUAUGUAAAACAGAAAUGGCAGUCCUUGCUCUGAAGUGCCAGAGAUAAAGAGUCAGGUGAGGGUUAGAGCUGGAAGAUUUCCAGCCCUGAUUAGUUUUGAUUCCAGGCAUGUUAUAGCUCUGCCUAAUCCAUAGAAUAGUUAGAAUG